rnacentral:rRNA from 2 species
GAUGAACGCUAGCGACAGGCCUAACACAUGCAAGUCGAGGGACCGGCGCACGGGUGAGUAACACGUAUGCAAUCCACCUGUAACAGGGGGAUAACCCGGAGAAAUCCGGACUAAUACCCCAUAAUUAAAGUUGGUUACAGACGAGCAUGCGCUCCAUUAGCCAGUUGGCGGGGUAACGGCCCACCAAAGCGACGAUGGAUAGGGGUUCUGAGAGGAAGGUCCCCCACAUUGGAACUGAGACACGGUCCAAACUCCUACGGGAGGCAGCAGUGAGGAAUAUUGGUCAAUGGUCGGCAGACUGAACCAGCCAAGUCGCGUGAGGGAAGACGGCCUACGGGUUGUAAACCUCUUUUGUCGGAGAGUAUGCAAGUAUCCGAAGAAAAAGCAUCGGCUAACUCCGUGCCAGCAGCCGCGGUAAUACGGAGGAUGCGAGCGUUAUCCGGAUUUAUUGGGUUUAAAGGGUGCGUAGGCGGCACGCCAAGUCAGCGGUGAAAUUUCCGGGCUCAACCCGGAGUGUGCCGUUGAAACUGGCGAGCUAGAGUACACAAGAGGCAGGCGGAAUGCGUGGUGUAGCGGUGAAAUGCAUAGAUAUCACGCAGAACCCCGAUUGCGAAGGCAGCCUGCUAGGGUGACAGACGCUGAGGCACGAAAGCGUGGGUAUCGAACAGGAUUAGAUACCCUGGUAGUCCACGCAGUAAACGAUGAAUACUAACUGUUUGCGUGUAAGCGGUACAGCGAAAGCGUUAAGUAUUCCACCUGGGGAGUACGCCGGCAACGGUGAAACUCAAAGGAAUUGACGGGGGCCCGCACAAGCGGAGGAACAUGUGGUUUAAUUCGAUGAUACGCGAGGAACCUUACCCGGGCUCAAACGCGAGGUGCUGCAUGGUUGUCGUCAGCUCGUGCCGUGAGGUGUCGGCUUAAGUGCCAUAACGAGCGCAACCCCUAUCGACAGUUACUAACGGCCGAGGACUCUGUCGAGACUGCCGGCGCAAGCCGGAGGAAGGUGGGGAUGACGUCAAAUCAGCACGGCCCUUACGUCCGGGGCGACACACGUGUUACAAUGGCAGGCAGAAGGCAGCCAGUCAGCAAUGACGCGCGAAUCCCGCCUGUCUCAGUUCGGAUGGAGUCUGCAACCCGACUCCAGAAGCUGGAUUCGCUAGUAAUCGCGCAUCAGCCAUGGCGCGGUGAAUACGUUCCCGGGCCUUGUACACACCGCCCGUCAAGCCAUGGAAGCCGGGAGUACCUGAAGCAUGCAGCGUACGAAGGUAAUACCGGUAACUGGGGCUAAGUCGUAACAAGGUAGCCGUACCGGAAGG